rnacentral:misc_RNA from 1 species
GAUCGAUAAUGCUUCUUUUGUUUAUGAAUGAAUAUAUAGAAACAGAUUAUAUAUAUAUAUUUGCAUUCUUUUUUUGCAGUUUUUCAUUUUUGUUGUUUAUUUGCGAAGGGUAUUAAAAUUUGAGAGAAAAACUUAUAUAUACUUAUUCUAUUAUUGGUUAAAGAUGAGUAUGUAAAUUUUGUUUAUUUUAUAUAUGAUUUUUCUAUUGGGUUAUGAUGUUUUGGACCUUUUCAGAAAUUUAAUUGAUUGCCUGUCGAUGAGAGGGACUUGCCAAGGUCACCACCAAUGGAAGGCGGACGUGUGGUGUUUGCUUGCUCAUACUGGCUGGCUGGCUGCUGCACCUUUAAUUUUUUACCUAUCCUCAUCAUACCCAUAAUGAGUUGAUGCAUAAAAGGAUUUUUUAGGUGCAUUCAACCUAAAGCAACAUGUAAUAUUAGUUUUUGGGUACUCACAGGCUGUGAUCUUUUCAUCUUUUUGACAAGUGAAAAAAAAAAUGUGGGUGACACAAAAAACAAG